rnacentral:rRNA from 1 species
CCUACGGGCGGCAGCAGUGGGGAAUAUUGCACAAUGGGGGAAACCCUGAUGCAGCGACGCCGCGUGAGUGAAGAAGGAUUUCGGUAUGUAAAGCUCUAUCAGCAGGGAAGAAAAGGACGGUACCUGAGUAAGAAGCCCCGGCUAACUACGUGCCAGCAGCCGCGGUAAUACGUAGGGGGCAAGCGUUAUCCGGAUUUACUGGGUGUAAAGGGAGCGUAGACGGCAGCACAAGUCUGGAGUGAAAUGCCGGGGCUUAACCCCGGAACUGCUUUGGAAACUGUGCAGCUAGAGUGCAGGAGAGGUAAGUGGCAUUCCUAGUGUAGCGGUGAAAUGCGUAGAUAUUAGGCGGAACACCAGUGGCGAAGGCGGCUUACUGGACUGUCACUGACGUUGAGGCUCGAAAGCGUGGGGAGCAAACAGGAUUAGAUACCCUAGUAGUC